rnacentral:rRNA from 1 species
ACCAGAACUAGCCCCAUUACCCAUAAACUCAACUACACUAACACUAAAACAAAACAUUUACUAACUAAAGUAUAUGUGAUAGAAAUAUUAAUUAGGGAGCUAUAGAUGCAGUACCGUAAGGGAAAGCUGAAAGAUGCCUCAAAGUACAAAACAGCAGAGAUUAAACCUCCUACCUUUUGCAUAAUGGGCUAACUAGAAAACCAUUGACAAAGCGCCCUGAAGCCAAUAACCCCGAAACCAGACGAGCUACUCGUGAACAAUUACCAGAAUGAACUCAUCUAUGUGGCAAAAUAGUGAGAUGAUUUACGAGUAGAGGUGAAAUGCCAAUCGAGCCUGGAGAUAGCUGGUUGUCCAAAAAAGAAUUUCAGUUCGACCUAAAGCCAUACCUACAAAACUAAUAAUUGUAAUGUAAGCUUUAGAGCUACUCAAUAGAGGUACAGCUCUAUUGAACAAGAAUACAACCUUGUAAGGCGAGUAAGAAACCACCAUGAUCAUAGUUGGCCUAAAAGCAGCCACCAAUUAAGAAAGCGUUAAAGCUCAACCCUUGUAACCUCUAUAAUCCCAAAAAUCAUUAUCAACCUCCCUUAUCUUAAAUUGGACUAUUCUAUUUAAGCUUAGAAAAAAUAAUGUUAGCAUGAGUAACAAGAAAUAUUUCUCCGCGCACAAGCUUAUAUCAGAACGAAUGCCCACUGAUAGUUAACAAUCAAAUAACUUCAAACCACAUCCAAAUACAUUUAUUACACAUAUUGUUAACCCGACACAGGAGUGCGACCCGGAAAGAUUAAAAGAAGUAGAAGGAACUCGGCAAACAUGAACCCCGCCUGUUUACCAAAAACAUCACCUCUAGCAUUACUAGUAUUAGAGGCACUGCCUGCCCAGUGACACUAGUUAAACGGCCGCGGUACUCUGACCGUGCAAAGGUAGCAUAAUCAUUUGUUCUCUAAUUAAGGACUUGUAUGAACGGCUAGACGAGAGUUCAACUGUCUCCUACCUCUAAUCAGUGAAAUUGACCUCCCCGUGAAGAGGCGGGGAUGAUAAUAUAAGACGAGAAGACCCUAUGGAGCUUAAAUUAACUUACCUACCUACUACUAAUUUUACCCAACUAGGAACACACUUAAGUUUACUAGGUAAAAAAUUUUGGUUGGGGUGACCUCGGAGUAAAAAAGAACCUCCGAAUGAUACUAUACCAUGAUUCAACUGAUCUAAGCUUAAAUCUAAUUGACCCAGUCUACUGAUCAACGGAACAAGUUACCCUAGGGAUAACAGCGCAAUCCUAUUCUAGAGUCCAUAUCGACAAUAGGGUUUACGACCUCGAUGUUGGAUCAGGACAUCCCAAUGGUGCAGAAGCUAUUAAAGGUUCGUUUGUUCAACGAUUAAAGUCCUACGUGAUCUGAGUUCAGACCGGAGCAAUCCAGGUCGGUUUCUAUCUAUACACCUAUUUCUCCCGGUACGAAAGGACAAGAGAAAUAGGGCCAACUUUAAAUAAGCGCCCUAGUUUAUAUAAAUGAACUAAUCUAAAUUUACAUUGACUAAAUAAUAUUACCCAAGACCAGGGUUU